rnacentral:tRNA from 1 species
GGGCCCAUAGCUCAGUUGGUAGAGCGCUUCCAUGGCAUGGAAGAGGUCAGGAGUUCGAACCUCCUUGGGUCCA